CGUGUAGGCGGCCUAUUAAGUCAGAUGUGAAAGCCCUCGGCUCAACCGAGGAACUGCAUUUGAAACUGAUAGGCUUGAGUACGGGAGAGGAGAGUGGAAUUCCCGGUGUAGAGGUGAAAUUCGUAGAUAUCGGGAAGAACACCGGUGGCGAAGGCGGCUCUCUGGACCGAUACUGACGCUGAGACGCGAAAGCGUGGGGAGCAAACAGGAUUAGAUACCCUGGUAGUCC
rnacentral:rRNA from 1 species